GUUGACCUCGGAUCAGGUAGGGAUACCCGCUGAACUUAAGCAUAUCAAUAAGCGGAGGAAAAGAAACCAACAGGGAUUGCUCUAGUAACGGCGAGUGAAGCAGCAAUAGCUCAAAUUUGAAAUCUGGCGUCUUCGGCGUCCGAGUUGUAAUUUGUAGAGGAUGCUUCUGGGCAGCCACCGACCUAAGUUCCUUGGAACAGGACGUCAUAGAGGGUGAGAU
rnacentral:rRNA from 1 species